rnacentral:lncRNA from 1 species
ACGAAACCAUGCUACGUGUUUGCCGGUUUGAACCAUGCUACGUGUUUUGCCGAGUUGAACCAUGCUACGUGUUGCCGAGUUGAACCAUGCUACGUGUUUGCCGAUUUGGUUGAACCAUGCUACGUGUUUGCCGAGUUGAACCAUGCUACGUGUUUGCCGAGUUGGACCAUGCUACGUGUUUGCCGAGUUGAACCAUGCUACGUGUUUGCCGAGUUGAACCAUGCAUGCUACGUGUUUGCCGAGUUGAAACAUGCUACGUGUUUGCCGAGUUGAACCAUGCUACGUGUUUGCCGAGUUGAACCAUGCUACGUGUUAGACCGAGUUGGACCAUGCACGUUUUGCCGAGUUGGACCAUGCUA